rnacentral:rRNA from 1 species
GAUGAACGCUGGCGGCGUGCCUAAUACAUGCAAGUCGAGCGAACGGACGAGAAGCUUGCUUCUCUGAUGUUAGCGGCGGACGGGUGAGUAACACGUGGAUAACCUACCUAUAAGACUGGGAUAACUUCGGGAAACCGGAGCUAAUACCGGAUAAUAUUUUGAACCGCAUGGUUCAAAAGUGAAAGACGGUCUUGCUGUCACUUAUAGAUGGAUCCGCGCUGCAUUAGCUAGUUGGUAAGGUAACGGCUUACCAAGGCAACGAUGCAUAGCCGAACUGAGAGGGUGAUCGGCCACACUGGAAAUGAGACACGGUCCAGACUCCUACGGGAGGCAGCAGUAGGGAAUCUUCCGAAAUGGGCGAAAGCCUGACGGAGCAACGCCGCGUGAGUGAUGAAGGUCUUCGGAUCGUAAAGCUCUGUUAUUAGGGAAGAACAUAUGUGUAAGUAACUGUGCACAUCUUGACGGUACCUAAUCAGAAAGCCACGGCUAACUACGUG